AGAGUUUGAUCCUGGCUCAGGACGAACGCUGGCGGCGCGCCUAACACAUGCAAGUCGAACGAGAGAGAAGGAGCUUGCUUCUUCGAUCGAGUGGCGAACGGGUGAGUAACGCGUGAGGAACCUGCCUCAAAGAGGGGGACAACAGUUGGAAACGACUGCUAAUACCGCAUAAGCCCACGGCUCGGCAUCGAGCAGAGGGAAAAGGAGCAAUCCGCUUUGAGAUGGCCUCGCGUCCGAUUAGCUAGUUGGUGAGGUAACGGCCCACCAAGGCGACGAUCGGUAGCCGGACUGAGAGGUUGAACGGCCACAUUGGGACUGAGACACGGCCCAGACUCCUACGGGAGGCAGCAGUGGGGAAUAUUGCACAAUGGGGGAAACCCUGAUGCAGCGACGCCGCGUGGAGGAAGAAGGUCUUCGGAUUGUAAACUCCUGUUGUUGAGGAAGAUAAUGACGGUACUCAACAAGGAAGUGACGGCUAACUACGUGCCAGCAGCCGCGGUAAAACGUAGGUCACAAGCGUUGUCCGGAAUUACUGGGUGUAAAGGGAGCGCAGGCGGGAAGACAAGUUGGAAGUGAAAUCUAUGGGCUCAACCCAUAAACUGCUUUCAAAACUGUUUUUCUUGAGUAGUGCAGAGGUAGGCGGAAUUCCCGGUGUAGCGGUGGAAUGCGUAGAUAUCGGGAGGAACACCAGUGGCGAAGGCGGCCUACUGGGCACCAACUGACGCUGAGGCUCGAAAGUGUGGGUAGCAAACAGGAUUAGAUACCCUGGUAGUCCACACCGUAAACGAUGAUUACUAGGUGUUGGAGGAUUGACCCCUUCAGUGCCGCAGUUAACACAAUAAGUAAUCCACCUGGGGAGUACGACCGCAAGGUUGAAACUCAAAGGAAUUGACGGGGGCCCGCACAAGCAGUGGAGUAUGUGGUUUAAUUCGA
rnacentral:rRNA from 1 species